rnacentral:rRNA from 1 species
GACGAACGCUGGCGGCGUGCCUAAUACAUGCAAGUCGAACGCAGUGGGGACGGGUGAGUAAAACGUGGGUAACCUCCCAUCAGAGGGGAUAACACUUGGAAACAGGUGCUAAACCGAUACUGAUGGAUGGACCCGCUGUGCAUUAGCUAGUUGGUGAGGUAACGGCUCACCACGGCCACGAUGCAUAGGCGACCUUAGCGUGUAAUCGUCCACACUGUGACUGAGGCACGGCCCAGACGCCUACGGUAGUCAGGAGUAGGGAAUCUUCGGCAAUGGACGAAAGUCUGACCGAGCGACGCCGCGUGAGUGAAGAAGGUUUUCGGAUCGUAUAACUCUUUUGUUAGUGAAGCGGUAUCUAACCAGAAGGCCACGGCUAACUACGUGCCAGCAGCCGCGGUAAUUC